rnacentral:rRNA from 1 species
GAUGAACGCUGGCGGCGUGCCUAAUACAUGCAAGUCGAGCGAACAGACGAGGAGCUUGCUCCUCUGACGUUAGCGGCGGACGGGUGGGUAACACGUGGAUAACCUACCUAUAAGACUGGGAUAACUUCGGGAAACCGGAGCUAAUACCGGAUAAUAUAUUGAACCGCAUGGUUCAAUAGUGAAAGACGGUUUUGCUGUCACUUAUAGAUGGAUCCGCGCCGCAUUAGCUAGUUGGUAAGGUAACGGCUUACCAAGGCAACGAUGCGUAGCCGACCUGAGAGGGGGAUCGGCAAAACGGGAACUGGGACACGGUCCAGCCUCCUACGGGAGGCAGCAGUAGGAAAUCUUCCGCAAUGGGCGAAAGCCUGAGGGAGAAACGCCGCGUGAGUGAUGAAGGCCUUCGGAUCGUAAAACUCUGUUAUUAGGGAAGAAAAAAGGUGUAAGUACCUAGGCACGCUUUGACGGUACCUAAUCAGAAAGCCACGGCUAACUACGU